CUCUUGGUCUUCAUUUCCAGAUAUCGUCUCUUCUUUUGACCACUGUUCCUGAUUGUGGCUUUGUCCAAGCAUUAAAUUGCGUGCCUUUUGUUCCUUGAAGAAGGAGGUAUGGUAAAGAUUGAAGUAUUAUAGUAGUAGUCUAUUAAGCAGUAAGUUAAUAUGUUUUGAUAUGGGACAAAAAAAUAAGAGUUACGAGUUUUCAUAAGUUAUAGUUUUAUGUUUGGCUUAAAUAAAAAAUACAGAUUUCCUUUUAAUGUUGGCAGAAAAGGUAGUUUUGGUUUCCUAGUUUGUUAUUUAACAUUUCAUUAGAAAUCUAAAGAUAAUUUAAGCUGUAUUUUUCUAAACAUAAAGACAACAUUAAGGGCUUCUGGGUAAUGAACGAUGGAGACAUAUAUGGUAGGAAGAUGUUUUGAAGUUGUAUAAAUGACCAGAAGAGUGUUUGUGUUUUGCUCUGGUAAGUGUAAAGUAAUGCUCCUAAAAAAAACCCCCGAUAUUUAUAUCAUGAUUAACGGUAUCUACAUUAUGAAUCAGGAAAGAUAUUUGGGAAUCACUGUGGAGUUAUGACUUGUUUCCUGAAGGCAAUCAUCUGAACAUCCUGGUGUGAACAAAAAGAAGGGGGAAAAUCUGCCAUCGAAUCCAUGGUAUUGUAAGGAAAGCUUUGCAAACUCAGUGGAAAAUAUUGUACUCUUGUACAAAAAUACAGUUUAUCUACCGUGGAAGCACAGUUUUUCUUGCUGUUUGUUUUGGGUAGGUACUGAGAUACCACAGUAUUAUAAUUCCCCUCACCAAAUGCAAUAAGUAUACCCAGAAACAUAACUCUAAAUUAGAAAUAAGAUUAUGUACGGGACACCCGGGUGGUUUAGUUGGUAGAGUGCCCGACUUCAGCUCAGGUCAUGAUCUCACGGUUCACGAGUUUGAGCCCCAUGUCAGGCUCUGUGCAGACAGCUCAGAGCCUGGAGCCUGCUUCGGAUCUCUCUCUGCCCUUCCCCAGCUCACUCUGUCUCUCUCUCUCUCCCUCUUUCGAAAAUAAAUAAACAUUAAAAAAAAUAAGAUUAUGUAUAUAACUACUAAAAAAGUGGAAGAGGACUAUACCAACUGAAAUUAUUACUUUACUAAUCAUAACCAUGUUUUGCCAUGAGUUUUACUAGCAGAUGGUUUUCUUUUCAGGGUCAUUUUUCACAAAGGCAGGAAUGUUUUAUUUUAUUAGAAGUUAAUAUCUAACAACUACAGUGAGUACAAAGCAACAAAGCUUAGAUACCAGGUUAUUAUUUAUGUUCAUUUAUAUGUGUAAUUUCUUCCUACAUAACAAUUGUUUGACCUCUAACUGAAUUAGGUUUGCAUGGGUACUGUGUUGUUUUCUGAAUAAAGUAAAUGCUGAGUGCUAAAAAUUUUCUUUACUGUGUUUGAUCCAAAAUUCUCAGAAGAAGUUACACAAUGAAGAGUGAGAACUUCAAAUGUAAUGAAGUAAACAAGAGGCUGCUGUAUGAUGACUUACCAAAAUGAUUUGGAUUAUUCCAUCUUGAAAAAUUGUGAGCAGAGUCUGACUAAAUUUUAAAUUUACUUUUUAUUUUUUUAAGUUUACUUACUUAUUUUGAGAGAACACGUGAGAGAGAGAGAGAGAGAGAGAGAGAGUGCAAACAGGGAAGGGGGCAGACAGAGAGGGGGAGAGAGAGAAUCCCAAGCAGACUCUGCACCUUCGCAAGGAGCCUGAUAUGGGACUCGAACCCAUGAACCAUGAGAUCAUGACCUGAGCCAAAACCAAGAGUCAGGCGUUUAACUGACUGAGCCAUCCAUGUGUCCCUGACUAAAUUUUAAAAUCGUGAUCGGUAUGACUGCAUGAAAUAGGUAUCAGAAUUAAGUUGCAUGACUUGAAGCUUAGGAUAAUUAAGUAGGUCUCACGUGGGUCUUAUUUUAAGAAGUGGUAAUAGCCAAAAACAAAUAUUGGCUUUGUGGAAAGUCUAGUAAGUGCAAAAUGUGGUAAAAUCGUCACCAAUUCCUAAUUAAAAUUGGGUUGUUAGAGGUUAUAGCUGGUAGAAAAAAAUUAGGCAUAUAUAUGUUUUUGUUGACCUUGAACAAUGUGGGGGUAGGUAGAUUUCCAAUUCCAUGCAGUUGGAAAUCUGUGUGUAUUCUUUUGACUCCCCUAAAAUUUAACUGCUAUAAGCCUUCUGUUGAUUGGAAGCCUUACUGAUAGCAUGAACAGUUGAAUAACACAUACUUUGUAUAUGUGUUAGAGGCUGUGUUCUUAAAAUAAAUGAGGAUAAAGUAGGCUAGAGAACAGAGAGUGUUAUUAAGAAAAUCAUAAGGAAGAGAAAUAUAUAUUUGUAGUACUGUAUUGAAAAAAAUCUGUGCAUAAGUGGACCUGUGCAGUUCAAAGCUGUGCUGUUCUAGGGUCAGCUGUAUGCUAAUUUGCUCAACUCCGUACCUCUUCAUUUGGGGAAUCAUCUCUUCGCCUAUCAUGUGUGGUUGAUAGGCUGCCUGUCAGUCGUAUACUCUUAUAACCCAAACCUAGUCAUCCCUAUUGCAACAGUGAUUGCGUAUUGAUCCAGCAGAGCCAAUUAGAAUCCUGUGACAUUGAUGUAUGAAUGCUAGGAGAAAGAUGCUCCCUUUUUUUCUGAAGUUAUUAAUCUGGGUGUUAGUAGGAUUCUUAUUAAUUAAUUCAGAUUAACUCUUAUUAAUCUGGGUGUUAGUAGUAGGGUGUUAGUGCAUUCUUUCCCACAUGUAUAAGAACCCUAUAUGUAGUAGGAGAAAGUGAAACCAUAAAUAAAUGGGAGAUAGGUUGAGGUAGCAUGCCAAUUUCAGUUCCAGGGACUGUGGUAUGAGAUAUCUAUGGUUUUCUUUUGAUUCUGUCAGCUACCGUGGUGUCCUUUCCAGUCCCAUGAGCCAAAAUUUUAUAUAUAAAUUAGUUUGAAUUGGAUUGCAGCAGAAAAUGUUCUGAUGAAUGUUUGGCCCUUAUGAAUUUAAGGUCUAUAGCUUCAAGUUGACCAUGUCCAUCUACAAUUUGCCCUUUUCUUCCACCUUAUGAAGAAUGCCCAUUAUUCAUUCAUCAUUCAUGUAUACAUUUAGUCCUUCAUUCAACCUACAAACAUUUGUUGAGUGUCUACUAUGUACAAGUAUGUGCAGCUGCCUGGAUAGUCAAGGAUUGUACCUACUUGCUGAGGAUGAUGGACUUCCUUUAAUGUAGCACAUUUUUAUAUACUUAGGUUACACAGGUCAACAAGAGUGUGAUGAGAAUAAUCAGUGCUGUGCUCAGCAUUUUAGUAAUAUGAAAGAAUAAAAGGAAUUGUUUGCCUUCAAAGUGUUUACAGUUUAGUUAAGGAAUCCAGAUUAAUGUGUAUGAAAUGACACAAACAACAGGUAAAUGCAUAUACAUUCAUGUAGUCUGGAUAUUAAAUCUGAGUUCUGAUAGAAAGGAAAUUAGUGAGGGCUAGAAGGUUUCUUCAAGGAGGUAUGAGCGCAAAUAAGUUUUAACUUAUGAGUCAUUUUGAUAGGCACAGAAUAAUUGAGGAAAGGAUGGAGUUGAAAAUGACUAAGGACUGAUCCAAGAUAGGGAGGAGAUUGGUUUGACUGUAACGGUUUGUAUUUUGGGGAAAUGAGAGGUAGUGAUAAUAAGGUUGACUAUUUUAGGUAAAUCCACGUAUGAGGCAUUUGGAAAGCCAAACAAAUUUUAUUUUCUGUUAAGGUGGAGAUUGCUUUGAAUAAAAUGUUUAUAUUUCUUUGAUGCCAUUUUUGUGAUGCUAAGGUGCAAAAUAAGUGUAAUCAAGUGAUGGAAAUUUACUUGUUGUGGAAAACAACUUGUUAUAUUUUCUGCCUUGGAAAUUUUUUAUUUUUAUUUAAAAAGAUUUUUUUUAACAUUCAUUUUUGAGAUAGAAAGAGUGAGCGUGGGAGGGGCAGAGAGAGAGGGAGAGACAGAAUCUGAAGCAGGCUCCAGGCUCUGAGCUGUCAGCACAGAGCCCUAUGCGGGGCUCAAACCCACAAACCGUGAGAUCAUGACCUGAGCCAAAGUUGGAAGUUUAACCGACUGAGCAAUGCAGGCACCCCUGCCUUGGAAAUUUUUUAAAAACAAUCAUUAAUUUGCGGUGUUGUUCUGUUUUAUACAUAUUAUACACAUAUAUAUAAAAUUGGUUUCUUUUUUCUUACCUGCCCCUUUUUGAGAGAUCCCAUAGUAACAGUGGCAUAACCAUACCCUUCCUCUAGAGAAACAGCCAGUUCAAAACUAACGUUGCAAUAGAUGUAAAAGCAUUCUGAAAGAGAUAAGGAAUUAAAUUAAUGUUUGAUUGCUCACAUAACAAUUGUUUUGAGCUCCAGAUACUAGGAAUGAUGUAUAGGUUAAUGUGUCAUUCUUUCAUUAAAUGCUGUUGUUAACUUCACCCUUUUUCAGUAACCAGUUAGCUGAUAUUCAACUCAAGAGAAUUAACAUUUGGAACAUUCCUGUAUACCAGGGUUGGCAGACUUUUGCCGUAAAUGGCCAGGUAGUAUAUAUUUUAGGCUUCGUUGGCAGUAUGAUCUCUACACCUAUCAGCUGCUGUUGGAACACGAUAGCAGCCAUAGACCAUAUGUAAAUGAACAAGUGUAGCUAUGUUCUAAUGAAACUUAAUUUACAAAAAGCAGCAGGCCACAUUUGGUGCACAGGGUGUUGGUGUGGACCACCUGUCAUAGAUUUAAUGAGACAUUUUAUGCCACAGCUUCUCAUAAUCGGAUCUUCCCACUAUCUUCCUCUCUAGUAACUAUGGAUCAGUUAUCUUUAUUAUUUUCUAAGUUUACCUCUCCUACUUGUUCACUUUUUUUUCCUUCAUCAUCACUUCUUAUCUUUCUGUUAUAUCAUUUUCAUAAGCACGUAAUCAUACUGUAAUUUCUCCCAGUUUAAAAAAACAAACAAAAAAUAACUCCAUUUCAAUUCCUUUGUCUUUUGGCCUUUUAUAGUAAAACUCCUUAAAAGGGUUGUCUCCCUUUUAUAGUAAAACUCCUUAAAACGGGGCACCUGGGGGGCUCAGCUGUUUGGGCGUCUGACUUGAUUUCAGCUCGAGUCAUAAUUUCACAGUUUGUGAGAUUAAACCCAUGAAUUAUUGUUAACAUGUCUCUGCUGGUGAUGUGGAGCCUGCUGGGGAUUCUCCCUCCCUUUCUGCCCCUCCCCUGAUUGAGCACGCUCUCUCUCUGUCAAAAUAAAUAAACAUUAAAAAAAAAAGUUAUCUGUACUGCAUCUAUAUCUCCCUUUUUUUCCUCCCAUUUUCUCCUAAAUCCAUGCUAGUCAUCCCUUCUAUAUAACCCCACUGAAACCAUUCUAAUCAGUGUCACCAAUGGUCUUGACAUUAAGUCCAGUGGUCAAUUCUCAGUCCUCAUCUUACUUGAGAGAGUUGAUCAAUACCUGAUCCUGGAAACACAUUGUUCACUGCUUUCAGGACACCACUCUCUUUACUUACCUCAUUGGUCAUUCCUUUCAUCCUUACCAGCUGGUUCUUUCUCCUCUUUUUCCUGUAAAUGUUGUAGCAUCUUGAGGCUCAGGCCUUGGACUUCUCUCUUUGUGUACUUACCCCUUGGUGAUUUCAUUCAAUUCUAUAUACAUGAAUACAUACACACACCAGUGAUUCCCAAAAUUUUAUCUUACAUCCAGACCUCCAUAUUCUGUAUUCAGCUACACAUCCACAUUUCCACUUGGCUGUCAGCUAGAUACCUGAAAUUCCACUAAAACUGAACUCUUGAUAUAUAUUUUAUACUUAUUGUUCCCACUCUGUCUUUUCUGUAUUAAUAAAUAGCAGUUCAUUUCUUCAUUUGCUGAAGUUGGAACUUUGGGAGUUAUCCUUGACAUGUCUCUUUCUCACAGACCAAACGGAGUCUGUCAGCAUAUCCUUUGGCUCUAUCUUCACAGCAUAUCCACGGCCUAACCGUAUCACAUUCUCUCCACCAAGCCACCGUCAUCUCUGACCUGGAUGUUGUAGUGUAAUUAUCUCCAAAGUGGUCUUCUUGCUUUUACUCUUACUUCCUUCCCAAAUACUUUGUUCUUAACAUUGUAGCCAAAGUGAUCUCUAAAAAAUAAUUCAGCUUAUGUUACUUCUUUACCCCAAAUGUUCCAGUAGCUUUUCAUCUUGUUUAUAGUAAAACCAAAGUCCUUGUAGUAUCCCUCAGGCCUUGUGUCAGUUCCCUCAUUACUUCUUUGACGUCAUCUCCUACUGCUUUCUUCCCUGUGCUGUUUUCUUGUUCUAGGCCUACCGACCUUGCUCUUCUCUGAACAUGCUAGGGACGCUCCAUACUCAGGGUGUUAGCACUCAUUAUUUCUUUUCUUGGAAUGCUUUCUGCCUCAACGUUUUAAGAUCUUGGCUUAAAUAAGACUUUUUCAAAUGAGGGCUACCUGACUUCAUAUUUAAAAUUGCAACUCUGAAUUCUGCCUAUUUUUCACCAUAGGUAUUUAUCACCUUUGAAUAUGUUACACAUGUCAUAUGUAAUAGGAAUUUACUUAUCUUGUUUAUUAUCUAAAUAGCUAGUAGAGUGUUAUGUCCGUGAGGGGAGGGGUUUUUGUCUGUUUUAUUCAUUGCUGUAUUCUCAAUACUUAGAACAAAGACUGGCACAGAUUUGGUGCUAGCUACAUGCCCAACACUAUGUCAGAUGCUGGUGGUAUAGCAAAAAACAUGACAGAUGUGUUCCUUAUACUUAUGCAGUUUUUAUUUCAGUGGUAACGACAGAUAGAAAAUAAAUUGUCAAAUAUAUAAAAUAUUGCCAGAGGAAAAAAAAGUGUUAUAAAAAAGAAAUACAAGGAGCUUAGAGAAUAAUAUUUUUCUGGUUGAGAAGCAACGCUUUAUAUGUUGGGGAGACCCUUCUGAGGUAAUGACAUCUGAGCUGAGACCUAAAAGAUGAGAAAGAUCUAGGCAUUUGAAAACUAGGAGAAAGACCAAUUCAAUUCAAGCAGGGAACAGCAGGUGCAAAGGUCUGAGAUAGGAAAGGAGUAUUUGAGGAACUGAGAGGCUAUCUGUGGUAGCUUGCUGGAGUGCAUUUACAGAUGAGGAAAUUGGUAUGAGGUGAAGUUUAGGAGAGAGGUCCAGGACCAGAUGUCACUGCUCCUUGUAAGUCUUGGCAGAGAUUAAAUUUUGUUUUAAGUGCUUUGGGAAGCCACUGUAGAUUUUAAAGCAGGGAGCGUUGUGAUCUAUUUUAUAUUAAGAUCACGUUUGCUCCUGUGUGGAGAAUGGAUUCACAGGAAGGUGGUGGGCAAGAGAGAAGCAUGAAUGCCAGUUAGGUUAUUUUAAUCCAAGUUAUAGAUGGCAGUGGACUGAGAAGAUGGUGGUGGAGGUGGAGAGAAUUCAAGAUGUAUUUUGGAGAUAGAAUUGACAGGACUUGCUUAUGGAUUAGUGUGGGAGUAAGAGAAAGAAGGCGCAGAAUGAUUCCUUCACUUCUGGGAUGAGUAACUGGAUGGAUUGCGGUGCCAUGUUACUAUGGUGGGGCAGCCUGGGAAGUGGAGUUUGUUUCUGUCCUUGAGGCAGGUGCUUUAUAGAGCCAGAGAAAAAUGAAAUAGUUUAUAUUGUUUUGAGAAGCAGAGGGGAAAUGGAUUACAUGUUGAUACAUGUUCUCCCAAUCGAAUAGCCAUAAAUCUUGAUUCCCCCCCCACCAUGUGUUCCAAAAUCUUAAGUAAACUCUGCCUACUCUGAGUUACUGCCACAACAAAAUGACAAAGAAGAAAGGCACGAGAGAUGAAAUAACCUUUCUCCUUCCCAUACUAAAUUUGGUGGUCUUUAUUUCACUUUGGAUAGAUUACUUUGAUUUUUCUCCCAAUUCCUACAUAUUGAAAAUGUGAUUUCUGACCAUGUGAGAGAGAACGUGCACGUGCGCGUGAGCUUGUGUGUGUGUGUUUAAAUCAAAUUCCAUUGCAGCAAAAAAAGUUUACGUGAUCUGUAAUGUUUGCUAUUUGCUAUAAAGUCAUUUAAUCUGAAAUCACAGGAAGUCAGAUAUUUGGGUUGCAAAUAAAAGAAUGAGUCGGGAGUGUGUUAGGACCCUGUGUACCAAUCAUCUUGACUUUCGUGAGGCAUAAAUGAAAAAUAUAAAAUAGAACUUCUCUUUAAGGGAGGUAAAACUUAAAAAAUGAAAUGAUGUAACUAUAAACCAGUGUAAUGAAGUGGUGAACAAUGGCUGUACUUUAAAUGGAUAUGCAGAGAAGGGAGAGAUUAAUGUGUAUUGCAGAAGGUUUCGUGUGCCUAUAGGAGGUAGAAUUAGACAGGAAGUUUGACUAGUAUGGAAUGAAGAUAGAAGGGGAUGACAAGCCUGGUGAGAGGAAGCAGGAUGAACAAAGAUAAAUAAAAGUGUAUGUGUAGGUAGUGGAUAGCAUCUUAGAUAUUGGGCACUGUACCUUAUGGAUAAUGAGCAGUCAUCAUCUCAGUAAUAAGAAAUAAGAUUAAGGGGUGUUUGGUGGCUCAGUCGGUUAAGUGUCCACUCUUGAUUUCCGCUCAGGUCAUAAACUCGAGGUUUAUGGAAUCGAGCCCGGUGUAGGACUCUGCGCGGACAGUACAGAGCCUGCUUGGGAUUCUUUCUCCCCCCACUCUCUGCCCCUCCCCUGCUCAUGCUCUGCCCCUCCCCUGCUCAUGCACAGAGAGCAUGACAGCUCUCUGUCUCUCUCUCUCAAAAUAAAUAAAUAAGCUUUAAAAAAAAAAAAGAUGAACCUGAACUGCUUCUGUAUUUUAAUUUUUCCAUUUUGUACUCCUUCAUAAUUGUAUCAGUGUCACUAGCCUACCUGAGUGGUACAUGGCUCACAUGUAUUCUCGCAUUUUGAACAUUUCUGAAUCUGUACUUCCUUACAUCUGCAUAUUUAACUCUUUAUUUUUCUUUUCUGUUUAAGUUGUUUAUUAGGCCACAAAGAUUUGGAGGGAGCUGGCUUUUAUUAUGUGUGUAUAUGUAUACAAUAUGUAUGUGUAUAUAUACAUAUAUAUACAAAAUAGAUACACAUACACAUAUAUAUGUAUUAUAUAUGUGUAUGUAUAUAUAUAUAUAUAUAUAUAUUCUACAAAAUUUAUUCUUUCACUUGUUUAAAAUAUGAUAGGUAUUAGGGGCGCCUGGGUGGCUCAGUCGGUUAAGCAUCCAACUUCGGCUCAGGUCAUGAUCUCGCGGUCCGUGAGUUCAAAACCCCGCGUCAGGCUCUGUGCUGACCACUCAGAACCUGGAGCCUGUUUCAGAUUCUGUGUCUCCCUCUCUCUCUGACCCUCCCCCCGUUCAUGCUCUCUCUGUCUCAAAAAUAAAUAAACGUUAAAAAAAUAAAAAUAAAAAUAAAUAAAAUAUGAUAGGUAUUAUUAGCCCUGUAGGUGAACUUUUUAAAAACUUAAAAAACAGCUAUAAAAAAAACUAAGCCCAGAGUCUAUGUUUCAAGUCAUGAAAAGAUUAUUGUUUUGAAGGCGUUAUAUGGUUCUGCUUUGAAAAUAUGUUUUAGGGUUUUUUGUGUUUUCUUCUAGAUCCCUUUUAGACAGAACUUUACAUUUUUUCAGUAAGCUCUACUGAUGCAUGCUGCUUUUGUUUUACCUCUAGUUAUAUAUUCAUAUGACUGUUUUGAAUUCAGUUAUCUCUGUAGAAAAAAUUUGGUGAUUCAAGGAAUGAAAUUGUUAUACAAAAUAAUGACUAAUUAUAUUAGUCUUUCUAUCUGUGUAAUGUGACAAGUUAGGUUACAGAGCUACAUGCUAAGUUACAAAUGGGGCAAAGCUAAAAUCAGAAUUUUUUAGUUCUUUGUUUACUGUUUAAGCAACUGGAAUGUAAUAAAGAGCAUAUAGAUUCUUCCUUUUUAUACCAUUUCAAUAAAGCUAAAGACUGUAAAAUGUCUUUGCUUUUUAGUCUGUUGUAGACAGCAAACGAAACUCUAAGAAUGACGCUUUUUGAUUUAUUCUAUUCAAAUGUUCUUUAUCCUUGGUGUUUUACUUUGGGAAUCAUUUUUUUAAAAUUUUUCUGUGUGUUUCUUAAUAUGCAAACACUGCCAGUUCUGUGGUUCCUUACUCUUUAUGUGGAUUGUCACUUAGUUCUCUGAUUUUCCAACUUCUAUUUUUACUGUCUCCAAUAUAUCUUGCUUUCUAGUAGCAUUCUAAUAAUAUUUCUAAAAUAGUGCCUUUAUAACUUCUCUCUGCUCAUGGGCUAGCCAUGGCUCCUGGUUACCUUUCAUUUCAAGUUCAAAUCUGUCCUCUGUAGUCUGUUCUCACUUAACCUCCCUAUUAUACAUUUUCUCUGUGAUCUCAAUCCUGCAGUGCCAUGAGAGAAAAAUGCCUUUCUUCAGUGUUACUCCAUUUUUCUGGUCUGGAUAGCCUUUGCUCCUUUCUUGCAAGUUUAAGUCCUUUCCUCUUUAAAGGAUCAUCACAAAACCUACCUUUCUGUGAAUUAAAUGCAGUCAGCAUUGAUCUAUCAACUUAAUGCCUUAAGAGUCUUUAGUUACAAGUAAUAAAACUAGCUUAAGCUAGUUUAAGUUAGGGUAAUCUGAAAAGGAGGAAUUUAUCUUAAGGAUACAGAUUUCCUAGAAUUCAAGGGCAAGAAUAGAUGCAGGCCGCAGUAAAGCCUUGGUGGUAGUAACAUUGCCCUCUUGGUUCACUCUGGAGUACUUACGAAAGCUGAUGAUUCUCUCCCUGCUGUUUGGGUACGUUUGUCUUCUGUUAUGCCAUGCUGUCAUUCCCUAAAAGAAAUUAAUAUGUUGUCAGUAGUUUAGGACGUAUCUUUCUAUAGAUUUGUCUAUGCUUAUGCAAACAUACCCUCAUACUAUCUUUUCUCCUGACAUGAAAAUGGGGAUCUUUCCUCCUAAUUUAAAAAUGUAUUAUAUGCCGUCAUCUGCAACUUCCUUUUUUAAAAACAAACAAAAAAAUUCACAAUGAAAUCAAUUCAGUACGUACAUCUUUUUGUUUAUAAUGUUUUCGUGUGGAUGGAUGUUGCAUAAUUAAUCAUUUUCCUACAAAUGAACAUUUAAGUGAUACCGAUACAUAUGUUGUACUUUUAUUUAUGUAAGAUGGAUUGUUAAAAGUGCAGUUUAUGGGAGUAUACUUAGACAAUGUGUAGGAAAUUUAUCAUUUUCAAGGAAAAUAUAAAUUGCCUAAAGUGGCUCAAGCAGUGGAAACCCUGAAGAGCCCAGAAACUGUAGAAGAGCUUGCAAAGGUUGGAAGGCCUAAAAUCUAAAGAGGUACCAGGCCCAUGUGGUAUUUUUGGUGCAAUCGUGUAAUUUUAAGGAGUAGGCAAUUUUCAUGUUUAGUGAACUAAUUCCAGAGGAGAUGAAAUUGUGGAAAUUAUUCCGAUUUUAUUUUACAUAUUCUCCAUAAUGCCAACAUCAAAACUAUUAAAGAUAGCAGAAAAUUCUGAAUAAAAUUUUGUCAGGUCAAAACCAGCACUUUAUUAAAGAAAAAUAUGCUUAACUAAUGUAAAAACAGUUCAACAUUAUACUUGCUGUUCAUUUCAUUGUAUAGUAUACAGGUUUCCUUCACUAUCUGAAACAAGAGUGGUCCUAUGAAACCUUUUGUAGGCUGAAAAUGGUAUAAAGUGAAGAAACAAUUACCAUUCCUUUAGGUGGAAAAGUUUUGGGUGUUCUCAGAGCCAAAAAAUAACCUUAGUCUUAGGCUUUUCUGAUAUCUUGAGGCAUAUCUUGUUGGUGGAGGCAGAAAUAAUUGCGAUAAAAGCACAGAUGCUCACAAACACAGUUCAAAGCUAUGGCCAUGUUGAAUGCUGACAUGUUGAUUUGUAGUUCCUGGGGAAGGAGCUUGGUGGUGCCACUCACUGCUUGGGGUGUGCACUGCCUCUAUAAGAGCUCGCUGCGAACAAAGGCUGAAAGCUGUUUCUGCUCUUUACCUUUUGUGUAAAACCAUGUCUUUUGGUCAGCAAAAACAUACUAAUGUAGGUCUUGUAAGUGAAGUGGCAUAAUGCAAACUUUUUGAAAAGUGAACUUUCAAAAAGCAGGGGAUACCUGUAUAAAAAGAAAUAGUUGAAUUUAGAUCGUUACAGUUUUUCCUAUUUCUUUAUCUUUUUUCUUUUUAAAAAGUUUUUAUUAUUUUUUUAGUGUCUUUCUUUUAACAGUGUAUUGAGAUCAGGAAGCAUAUUGGUUGAUUACCAUUUGUUUUCUAUGUAAAAUACAUAAAACUUCUUAUGAAUGUAUAACUGCAUUUGUAAUUGUUACUCUGGUAGUGCCAACUUUUUUACUUUUUUAGGUAACAUCAUGGCUCACAAAUUCUUAAAUAAGCAAAAAAUUGCUUCUCAAUAGCAUGAAUUUAUAUACCAUGAGUGACCUCUAAUAGCACGAUUUUAUAUUCUUUGAGCAUUAUGUUUGCCUCCAAGUUUAUGGCUGUUAUACAGUCUUUUCUGCAGAGGUGUGAUUGGGUACUUGUGUACUGAUGUGAGGAGUGUAGUGUUGAAUGAUACCUAUUUUGUUUUGAUUUCCACCGUUUAGUGUCUACAUCCCACAAUUUUGUGCUGGCAUCAGGUUUGUUCAGAAAAAACUCAGUUGGUUUAUGGCAGAAUUCACUUGCUUUGUUUGAGAAUUUCAAAAUUUUCGUGGCUUCGUACCACUUUUUGAUAAAGUUUCAUAACUGUGGUCUAGACGCAAAGAGGUCAUUCUCCUCACAUCAAAAUGUAAGCUGUUUGCUUAUGCUGUGAUAAGGAGGUAUGCCAAUGUGGAGGCCGUAGUGAUCCAAGGACAACAUUUUAAGAAACAGUGACUUAGGAUACACUAGUAAUCACUAUAAACAUUUUUAUGUGUGUAUUCCUGACUUCUUACUAUGAGUCUGUAUGGGUCUAUGUCUCUUCUGUAUACACCUAUUAAUUUUUGAGCAGAUUAAACCCUAAUAUGUCUACUGUUUGUUUCUUGUUUUUUUUUUUCAUUGAAUGCAUCUUGGAUCUCUUCCUAUCAAUAAAUGUAGGUUUGCAGUAUUGUUUUUUUAAAAAAAAUUUUUUUUUUCAACGUUUAUUUAUUUUUGGGCAGAGAGAGACAGAGCAUGAACGGGGGAGGGGCAGAGAGAGAGGGAGACACAGAAUCAGAAACAGGCUCCAGGCUCCGAGCCAUCAGCCCAGAGCCUGACGCGGGGCUCGAACUCACGGACGGCGAGAUCGUGACCUGGCUGAAGUCGGACGCUUAACCGACUGCGCCACCCAGGCGCCCCAUGCAGUAUUGUUUUUAAAACAAUAAUAUUCCAUUAAAUGAAAAUACUAUAAUUUAUUUAUUUUACUAUUUUCUUUAAUCUUUUUUUUUUUUUUUUUCCAACGUUUAUUUAUUUUUGGGACAGAGAGAGACAGAGCAUGAACGGGGGAGGGGCAGAGAGAGAGGGAGACACAGAAUCGGAAACAGGCUCCAGGCUCUGAGCCAUCAGCCCAGAGCCCGACGCGGGGCUCGAACUCACGGACCGCGAGAUCGUGACCUGGCUGAAGUCGGACGCUUAACCGACUGCGCCACCCAGGCGCCCCUUUAAUCUUUUCUUUUUUAAAAAGCUUAUUUAUUUUGAGACAGAGAGUGCGCGCACACACACAACUAGGGGAGGGGCAGAGAGAGAGGGAGAGAGAAUCCUAAGCAGGCUCCCCACUGUCAGCGCAGAGCCCGAUGUGGGGCUUGAUCUCACAAACCAUGAUAUCAUGACCUGAGCUGAAAUGAAGAAUUCGACACUUAACUGACUGAGCCAUCCAGGCUCCCUGUGAAAAUACCAUAAUUUACUUAUUGGUGGACAUUUUGUUAUUUUUGAUUUUGUGAUUUUGUAAGCGAUGCUGCAAUGAGCAUGAUUAUUACCAUUAAGAUACCUUUCUAGAAGUGAAUCAGUAGUUCUAUACUUGCUUUCCAGUUGUGUAUAGAUUUAUAUUUUCUUGUAUAUUAAAAAAUAUAUACUAUUGUGUAUGUAACUAUAUGUAACAUAACUAUGAAUUGUUUAUAAUAAAUAUAAAUGAAUAUAUUACAUAGCAAACUGUUCUUUGUAAAGAUUGUAUCAUUAGUAUAUCAUAGUGACUCUGUUACUAGAAAAUGAAAUUUUAAAAACGAAGGCAUACAAAAUACAAGUCAAAAUGUUUAUUAUUCGAUUCAACAGAUAUGAAUUUAACUCAGUUUGCUACAGUAGUUUCUAAAUGCUUACUCUCAGUUUCCAUACAUAUGUCGUCAUGGACUAGUGACAGAUGUUUUAUGGACCAUCGGCAGGACCAUAUUUUUAGUAGCACUAUUUUAUUUUGGCCUAGGAGUCAACGUAGAAGGGGGCAAAAGAGGCUGGGGUGAGGUUUAUAUUUCAUCCAUAUACGGUCAUUUAAUCCUCUUGCUUUUGAUAUGGUACCCACUCUCUCACCUGUGUCUGGUAUCCCCUGUUUAAGAGAGUGUGUUUACUUUUUGCAGAGAAUAAACUGCUGCUGUGGUGGGGAAAUAGCAGUUACCUAGCCUGGAGUGAGAAAGGGAAUCUUGGCAUCAAACCAGAACUCAAGCAGCUUUCUCCAAAUUUCUCUUUGUUUUAGCUUUCUCCUCCCUUCUUCCCAUUUCAUAGUUACUUUGUACUGCCAGUUCCUAAGCCUUUCAAAGAUUCAGAGUGUAAAAUAGGUUAGUUCUUAGCUUUCGCCACUGUCUGUCUGGGAUUCAGUUUUCUUGGGUCUGCAGGGUCAUUUACUAAUUUUUCUGCUUUCCAGCAUUUAGGAAGUUGUUGCUAUUGUCAUGUUUCCUGUUUCCUAUUAAUUUUUCUUUAAGGACUCCUUACCUAUUUGUCAUGUUGUGAAUGUGCCCCUCCUCUAGUUUUUUUUUGCUUUUCUUAACUAUUAACAAAAUAUUUACUUUUAUUUCUAUUUUGUAGAUUUUGUUCUUGACAGAUAUUUCUUCUAUAACACAUUAUUCCUUUCUUUUAGUCCUUGUUUUUCUGAUUGAAAUUUGAUUUUGCUGAAGUAUUUACUUGAAACUUUAUUCCAGAAAGAGUACAUGUAUAGCGUAUUCUCUAAAUCAUUUUGCACAUCUAAAAUUGUGCUUUUCCCUCAUGCAUUUUCCUAGGUAUAGAAUUAAUUCUUUGGUUAAUCAGUUUUCCUCAGAACUCUAUAUAUUCUAACAUUUAGAAUUGUGACUAAAAUGUCUGAUUAAUAUUAAUUUCUGCUUAAAGUUGGCAUUGUUGAUGAAAAAUCAGAUACCUUUUUAGAUAAUUCUCCCUCUACCUUUUUUUUUGUAGCAUUUCAUUUUUUCUUUUUAAACUCAAAAAUUUGACUAGGAUAAGUUGUAAACAUUGAGGUUUAUAUUCUCUUCUCACUAAUCUUGCUUGACUUUUGAGGAACUUUUGAUUUUGAAAAUUCAGGUCUUUAAAAAAAAAAAACCCAAAACUCAAGAUUUUUUUCUUGUUUUCAAAAUCAUUAUUUCUCUGCUAUCUGCUACUUUUUUCUCUCCUUCAUGACAAUAUGUUCUUAGUUUUCUUUUUUUAGUAUAUCAUCUCAGGUCUUGCUAAAAUUGCCAAUUACUACUUGAUUCUUCCCCUCUAAGCCUUCUUUUUUCUGCAGUAGUGGCUUUCAUGUAGUUACUAUUUUUCAUUGCCGGAUGGGGGAAUGAGGAAGGGUUUCUCAGUGCUCAGUUGUUUUCUCUUUGUUGAGCUGUUUCAGCUAGUGAUGUUUCUGCCUACUCCCCUCCCCACCUUUUUUUUUUUUUUUUGAGAGAGAGAGAGAAUCUUAAGCAGGCUCCACACUCAGUGCAGAGCCGACAUGGGGCUUGAUCCCACAACUCCAGGAUGGUGACCUGAGCCGAAAUCAAGAGUCGGAUGCUCACCCAACUUAAGCACCCAGGUGUCCGGAGAUGAAUUCUUUAAGAAUGAACCAAUUUUUUUUUUCAGUUUUUUAGUUAAAAGGAGGUGAAAAGCUAAUGUAAUUUUUUCCUGACAGCUUAGAGAUAAUUUACUUAUGUCGAUAAAGGACAGAACUGUUAAACAGAGGAAGAUAGGCAUGGAUAGAGGAAGAUUUAUCUUUGUUCAGAAAUAAUUUUCUCUUUAUAUCUUUCUCAACAGCUGGUGCUAGCAACUCCCAGCUCGGCCCCUGGACCUAGCUCAAAACUCUGGAUUCAUUCUCUUCCUUCCCGUACCUCAGCCCGAGCUUUCUGUCUCCCCAAAGGGUACCACAUGAUCUUCCUCUCAAGUCCUCACUUCCUCGAAUCCCAAGGUAUGUAGGGAAGGAGUAGGCUGAAUUAUGUCCUUUACUUUCUUACGGCAUAAUAGAUGCUUAUUAUAUGUUAGUUAAAUGCAUGUCCCCUAGUGAAAUUCUUCCUUGAGAGUGGUGCUUGACAGUGAAUUAGCAUUUGUAUUCACUCUCCUCUCUCUGGACUCUAUCUUAGCAAACACGUUGCAGUAUGUGUAUGGAAUCUUUUUCUAGUUUCUUGUCAUUUUGUAGGUCUUUAUUGUAUUUUUUGGUUUGUGUUUCAGUGGGCAGUUGGAAGAAGGAAAUCAAACGGCUUAAGUUGCCACCUUGAUGCAGGAAACUCUCCAGGUUACUUGAAAGGGCCAGGCAUACUUUAUGCAAAUAGUAUUAUUUCAAGGCUUGAUGAGAUGUUGGUUAAGUCUUAUGAGGUAGUAAUAUGUAGAGAGAGGACAGUAGUUUCAGUGGCAGAUUUAAAAUCAGUAAUCUUUUUGGUAAGGUAAAGAUUGAACUGUAGUGAAAAGAGCAUUAGCUAGUAGGUUGGAAGAUUAUAAUUCCUCAUUCUUUUUUUUAUGUUUUCUGAUGUGUUCACAACACAAUACAUUUUUUUGCCCAUAGGUGGUAACCAUAUUGUAAUUUGCUACCAGGUGUCGUCUUUGAUUGCUUCCGCAUACUUAGGUUGAACAUAGUUGAAGACAAAUAGAUUUUCCCCAUUUCAAAUUUGAGGGUGAAAAACCCCAAACUACCUAAAAUACACAACCCCCCCCAAUGCUGUAUUGUACAUGCCAUACAUUAAAUAUGAAAAAAUAUUGAUACUCAGUAUUGAUUACUUAGCAGUUACUAAACUUAAGUAAAAGCUAAGUGGAUUUCUUAAUAAGGUGGUCCCUUUUAUUAAUUGUUUUGCCUAUGAGGAAAGGACGUGCACUUUAAUGGAUGGAAUUUGUGAACUCUGUUUUGGCUGCCAUGUAUCCCACUUAAUUAUUUUCUAUUCUUUGUGUCCUGGAACGGUGAGGUUGCUGAAAUGUCAACUCUGAACAAGCAAUGUAUUCAUGUAUAUGUCCUGCCUCUUCCUUUAGACUGUAAGCUGCAGUAGGGUAGAGACCAUGUUUUUGACUCUUUCCAUAGCACCCAGCAAAAUGCCUCACAAUCACAGUUGUUAUUUAUUAGUAAGUUUUGGUUGGUUGACUUGUUUAAAAUCCUAUUUUUAAACUGGUUGCCAGACUCUGGGGUAUGUGUUAUGUUAUAAGAAAAAUUUUAAAUUGUACAGAUAUUUUGAAAUGGAAUUGAUGAUAUUUAGAAAUCCUAUCAAUCUAUUUUUAGCAUUACCUAUAUAUUUUUGGACACAUGUACUGUUACCGCAAGAAACAAUUUGCCUUUUAUAAUAAAACCCACGAUAUAGUCUCCUCUUGAUUACAUGUAUAAUAGAAAGGCUUGAGUAUGGAUGGUCCAGAGUGACCAUAAUAUGAUAUUUAGGCAAAUGGGGAAGAACCAUUAUAGGUGUUCUUAAAAGUUUCACAUGUUUGAAUCUCACCCUUAGAUUCUGGUAUGGGGAAAACUCCAUAGGUGAUUAUGAUGCUGGUCACUGUUGAGAAUGUGACAGUCUGCAGGGAAUCUUCUCAGUUGGUGUGGAGUAUCCACCAGGUGUCGUGAACUUUCUUCUGGCCAUUUGUUAGUUUUUCUUACUUUCGAAGGAAAAGUUUUUACAUUUAGCUUUAAAUAAUAUAGUAAAUUUUUAGUAAAAAUUUUAAUAAUUUACUGAGUUAGACACAGUCUGUAAAAACAUUUAGGAAACCAGUGUGUGCUUUGGCAGCACUUAUACUAAAGUUAGAACAAUACAGAGAAGAUCAGCAUGGCCCCUGCGCAAGGAUGACACGCAGAUUCGUGAAGCGUUCCGUAUUUUGUGCAGUUCCCGAGUGUCCUACCACCCACGGCAGAUUAACUCUGAGGAAAUGAUAUGAGUCAGAGGAUGGUGUGUAGCACUGAAUAGUGAAAUUCUGAUUUUUCACUAUUAAAAAAAAAUUCAGUAGACUGGUACCCUACUAAUGAAUUAUCAGUUUAGUAUUUAUAUAUUUGAGACUACUAAAGAAUGUGUUUUUUAGACCCAACCAAAAUUACUAAGUGUGAGAAAUAUUAAGAGUCUCUUAAUAUGUAAUGUGAUGUAACUUUUAUCUAUGGUUUCUUAAUAAAGGACUUCUGAAAUAGUAAUGUUUCUUGUUACUUAGAUUAAUUGAAAACAUUUUUAAAGUUUUUAUUUAUUUGAUCUCUCUGCCCAGUGUGAGGCUUGAACUCACAACUUCGAGAUCAAGAGUUGCAUGCUCUUCCAACUAAAUCAGCCAGGUGCCCCUAGAUUAAUUGAAAUUUAAACCUGAGACCUUUGAAUAGACAUUAUGGGUGAAGCUCAAUGUGAUUUACACUUUAUUUUCUUUAGUUUAUCUAGUUUUCUGUUACUCACAAUAUAUAUUUAAGAUCACAAAAGUAAGAGAAGACAAUUUUUCCAGUACACAUUUUGCUAUUCUGCGGAACCUUCAGUAUUCAGAUUUCAAUCUCACCGAUGUAUUAUCACAUCUUACUAUUUUACUAUUUUUUAUUCCUUUGCAGUUUGACUCAUAAUGUGUCAUUCCAUGGUCAUCACAGUAGUGAUAGCUACAAUUUAUAUAGCACUUUACAGGAUACCGUUACAUAUAUUUUCUUAUUUAAUCUUUACAACAACCCUGUGAAAGGGGAAGUGCUAAUUUUUCUUUUUCACUUUAUAGAUGAAGAAACGAAGACAGAGAUUGAGACUUGUCUAGAGUAACACAAACCAGUAAGUGUUGGAAUUAAUGGAGGCAGGUAGUAAUGGGUGCCUUCUCCUAUGCCAGGGGCUUUCCUUGCUGCCAUGUACCUGGGUUCUAGGGACAAAGAGCCAAGAUGGUCAGGAACCAAAAAGGUAGUAGGUGGACUUAAUCGUACCCCAGCAAAAUGUGUUAUUCCUUCUCAUUUCUUUCUCUCUCUCUCUCUCUCUUUUUUUUUACACCAUUUAGUAGUGAUAACUUGAAAGAGCACAUAAUAUCUUUUUGUUGUUGUUGGAUAAGUGAAACUUAUUUUAAACAUAAGUUAUCCCUGAGGCACUAAGGAAGUAGAAAAUCUGGAGGGAAGUCUGUUGAAUUUCUCAGAGGGUAAUAGCUAUAGGGUCAGCUAAGGAAGGGAGAAAGUUACUAGUACAUGUGUGUAAUUGGAACUGAAAUUUUUAUGGCUCUCAUUAAGAUUUUUCAAAUCCUGUUUAAAGAUUGUAAUAUCAAUUUCAUAUAGCAAUCUUAGAGCUUAAGGGUGCUUAUCCACUUGUGGUUUUCUUUAGAUGACAGAACCGAGGUGCAGAGAAGUCGAAGCCUGCCUGGUGUCCCAGAGAGUGGCUGCAGGUAGAGCUUGUAGCUGCUGACUUCCUGAUUAGCGCCAUCUCUGCUUCCAACUCUUACCUCUUGGUAAGCUGUCCUUGAAGUACUCCACAGUCUUUUCUAUCUCUUUUUAUGUGUUUGAUCAACAUUGGCAUUUUGUAUCAAAAUGAACUUUAAAAUUCAUGAAAAUUACUGAUGCUUACGUGAUGAAAAUUAAAUUCUUUGUUUGAUUUCAGGUGAGUUAAUGUGGGAAAAAUCCUCGUAUUUUGAAGAUGUCUUGCAACAGUAUUGUUUCCUGUUUAAGUUACAAGUAACUUCAGUUUUUAGAGAAAAAAGAAAUUGGGUUUUUUUGUUAAAUCAUGCCAUCUGAACAGAAACAGUUAUUUUUUGAUGAAAAACAAACUAUUUUAAAAAAAGAUUAUGAUGUGAAAAAUGAGAUAGUUGAUACUAUUAGAUCAGUGCUUAGGCCAAAAAUUUCAGAAAGUCGUUUUCAUUAUGAACUAAAAAAUGUGAAAAUCGAUUUGCCGAAGAUAAAUAUUCCAAAUGAAGUCUUUUUGAAACAUGAAGUUGACAAAUACAGAAAGUUAUUUCAGCGUCAACCACAGACUGCAAGAAAAUCUAUCAGUAUAAAGACUGUAAGCUGUGUAGAGGAGUGUAUGCUGCUCCAGAAGUCUGAGAGAGUUGAAGAAGAGGGUUUAAAAAUGUCGGCAAAAAUACUCAAUUUCAACUGUUUAAAAUGCCGAGAUAGCACUCGAUAUAGCCCAAAUGAUUUACAGAAACACUUUCAGAUGUGGCAUCGUGGUGAAUUACCUUCAUAUCCUUGUGAAAUGUGCAGUUUUUCAGCAAAUGACUUCCAGAUAUUUAAACAACACAGACGGACACACAGAAGCACUUUAGUAAAAUGUGACAUUUGUAACAAUGAGAAUGUGUAUACUUUAUUAGACUUGACAAAGCAUUUUACAUCCACACAUUGUGUAAAUGGUAAUUUUCAAUGUGAAAAGUGCAAAUUCUCCACCCAGGAUGUUGGCACAUUUGUUCAGCACAUUCAUAGACAUAAUGAAAUCCAUUAUAAAUGUGGUAAAUGCCAUCAUAUAUGUUUUACCAAAGGAGAGCUUCAGAAGCACCUUCACAUUCAUUCUGGUACAUUUCCCUUCACUUGUCAAUAUUGUAGCUAUGGUGCCACUAAGAGAGAGCACCUCGUAAGACAUGUUAUAACUUUGCACAAAGAACACUUAUAUGCGAAAGAGAAACUGGAAAAAGACAAAUAUGAAAAAAGGAUGACAAAGACUUCAGGACUUAAGCUGAUACUGAAAAGAUACAGAAUAGAUGCAUCAAGGAAGACAUUCUGGAAACGCAAGAAGAUCAACAAUGGAAGCGACCGAAGUAUAGAAAAAAACACUCAAGUGCUAAAAAAACUGAACAAAACACAGGCUAAAUCUGAAGACCAGAGCCAUCUUGUUCAAGAACAUUUAAAUGAAGAAAAGGACGAAAGACCACACUGUGAGAAUAACGAUAAACCUGCUGAGUUAGGGUCAGAAAAGCCAACUCUUCUGUCCACUGGGCAAUAUAAUAGAGCUGAAGAGGGAUCACAUUCGACUCUAGGUUUCUUGAAGACUGCUGUACAAGGACCUACAGUGUUGAUGGUGAAAAAUAAUAGAAUAACAAUUCCUGCUAACUACAGUGCUGAUUUUAUGGGUUUUAAGAUGGUGGAUGGAAAACAACAUAUUGUAAUAAAAUUGUUGCCUACCAGUAAACAGAAUUUAUAUUCACCAGGCUCACAGCCAGGUGCUGCAAAGGAUGGUACUGGCAAUUUGCAGCCCCAGACACUGGACACUACUGGAUUUUUAGCAGGAGUAACAACUGAGUUAAGUGACACCGUUUACAUGAAAGCAACUACUCCAUUUUCGUGCUCAUCUCCUCUACUUUCAGGGAAAGUCCUAUCAGAAAAAGAAAUGGCUUUGCUAUCUCAAACGGGUAAUAUGCUUCAAACAGUGGAUGAUGAAAAAAGUGUGUCGUCUUUGUCAGCAUCAGGAUUGGUUACAGCAUCAGUGAAUUUGGCCACAAAAGUUGAAACAAAAGAUAAUAUUGACUUAUGGGGAAGUUACAUUCCUCAGAGUCACCCUGAGAUACCAGGUGCUGCCAUUAGAAGUCCAGAUAAAGUCAACUCUGCUACCAAACAAAAUGCAUACAACAGCGGAGAUAUGCAUAACUAUUGCAUUAAUUAUGUCAGCUCUGAGUUACCUGUUGAAUCUUCCAACCACGGAUCAUUACCCUUUCAUAAUUACUCAAAAGUAAAUAAUUCUAAUAAACGUCGUAGGUUUUCAGGAACAGCGGUGUCUGAAAAAGAACCCUCAUCAAGCAAAACAGUUGUUCAACAACCAAUAAGUGAAUCGGUUUUAUCUUUGGUGCGAAAGGAGAGCUCAAAUCCAGAUAGCAUGUUAGCAUCUCUUAGCCUGUUAAAUACUAAAGAUGGAACUUUAAAAAUGCAAGCUGAAAUUGAAGAACAAUGUGUGUUAGAAAAAGGACAAAACAUUGACGGACAGAACUUCUACACUAAUGAAAAUCAAAAUUUAGAGAAUGUGACUGAAAAAUCUAAGUGGGAUGACAUUUCUAAUGUUGAGUCACCUAUGAUGCCUAGAAUCACAUCUGUUUUCUCUCUCCACAGCCAACAGGCAUCAGAAUUUUUGCCCCCUGAAGUAAACCAGUUACUUCAGGAUGGGUUAAAAACAAAAUCUGAUGUAAAACAGGACUCUAGUAAGACUCCAGAUAAAGGCCUGCCACUUCAUUGUGACCAGUCCUUUCAGAAACCUGAGGGAGAAGGCAAAAUAGUUGAAUCUUCAAAAGACUUCAAAGUACAAGGUGUCUUCCCAAUUCCAUCUGGUGGUAUAGGGAUUAAUGUGCCUAUAAAUGAUCUGAAUUUAAAGUGUAGUGGAAAAGAAAAACAAAAUCUGUCAAUAUCACAAGAUGUGAGAGAUUCAGAAAAGGCACCUAGAAUUUCAGGUAUUGGCACAUUACUUAAGACUCAGUCAGAUGCAAUAAUAACACAGCAGCUCGUAAAAGAUAAACUGCGAGCCACUACACAAAAUUUAGGUUCUUUAUAUAGGCAGAGUCCACUUCUAAAUUCAGAACCAAAAAAAGCUAUAUUUGUUCAGACUCCAAAAGGCUUUUUUGUACCACUGCACAUUGCUAACAAGCCUGGAUUACAUGUUGUUUCAGGAAGACCACUUCCAUUGGUUAACACACAAGGUGUACCUGCUUCUCUUCUUUUAAACAAGAAACCCGGGAUGAUUUUAACAUUUAAUCAUGGGAAACUUGAAGGUGUUUCCACUGUCAAAACUGAGAGUGCUCAAGCUUGUGGAACUACAGCUAAGGAGCUUUGCAGAACACCUUUUUUAAAGGUGGAACCAAACAGUAAUUGUCUGACACCUGCACUAUGUUCCAGCAUUGGCAGUUGCUUGAGCAUGAAAAGUAGUUCCGAAAAUACUCUGCCGUUAAAAGGCCCGUACAUUAUUAAAACGUCAGCAAGUUCUUCAGUGAAAGCUGUUCCUACUCCUAAUGUAGCUUCUGAGCACCAGGGCACCAAGUUGAAUAUUUUGGAAUCAGUAAAACAGCAGAAUGAGAUUUUUCCCAAACCACCUCUUUAUACCCUCUUGCCUGAUGGCAAACAAGCUGUUUUUUUAAAGUGUGUGAUGCCAAAUAAGACUGAGCUGCUUAAGCCUAAAUUAGUCCAAAAUAGUACGUAUUAUCAAAACAUACAGCCAAAGAAACCUGAAGGAACACCACAAAAAAUAUUGCUGAAAAUUUUUAACCCUGUUUUAAAUGUGACUGCUGCUAACAAUCUGUCUGUAAACAACUCUGCAUCCUCAUUGCAGAAAGACAAAGUACCAUCUAAUCAGACUACAGGAGGAGAGCAGAGAGAGCCAGAAUCUUCUAGAGAUGCCUUACCCUUCUUACUAGAUGAUAUGAUGCCAGCAAAUGAAAUUGUGAUAACUUCUACUGCGACAUGCCCAGAAUCUUCUGAGGAACCAGUGUGUUUCACUGACCGUUCAGAUACCAGGGUGUUAAGGUGUAAAACAAAUUGUACAAUUGAGAGAAGCUUCAAUAGAAAAAAGACUUCCAAAAAAAAUUUUCCAAGAAUAAAAACUCAUGUAAGAAGUAAAGAUUCUGAAACUGCCUUUGUACCUAGAAACAGGAACUGUAAACGAAAGUGUAGGGAGAGUUACCAAGAACCUCCAAGAAAAAAGGCAACAUUACAUAGAAAGUGUAAAGAAAAGGCAAAACCCGAAGCUGUCCGUGAAUCGUUUGGAUUUAGCAGACCGAGGCUUUCAAAAGAUGCAGUCAGAACUUUGCGGCUUUUCCCAUUUAGUUCCACACAGCUUGUGAAAUGUCCUAGGAGAAACCAGCCAGUUGUAGUUUUGAAUCAUCCUGAUGCAGAUGCCCCAGAAGUAGUAAGUGUAAUGAAAACUAUUGCUAAAUUUAAUGGACGUGUACUUAAGGUUUCAUUGUCAAAAAGAACUAUCGAUGCUUUACUGAAACCGGUUUGUGGUAAUGCUUCACAAACAAUUUAUGAUGAUUUUUCCAAGAGGCAUAAAACAUUUAAACCUGUUAGUUCUGUGAAAGAAAGAUUUGUGCUAAAAUUAACACUCAAAAAGAUGAGCAAAAACAAUUAUCAGAUCGUGAAAACUACCUCUGAAAAUGUUCCAAAAGCUAAAUUUAACUGUUGGUUUUGUGGUAGAGUAUUUGACAAUCAGGAUGCUUGGGCUGGUCAUGGGCAGAGACAUUUAAUGGAAGCUACUCGUGAUUGGAAUAUAUUAGAAUAAUUUACUGUAGUUACCAAGGAACAGAGAAGUAAAAGGGUCUUAGAAGAAAACAGUGGGUUGAAUUACCUUAAGGUAAUUGUCUACUUCAGUAUAUACCUAAAAUUGAACAUCGGAAAGUAGGCUGUAUUUCCAUGGGAGACUAGAAAAGUUUUAUGUGUGAUAGUUGCAAAUGCUGUCACUGGACACAUAAGCUUUGAAAGAAACUAAUCACAGCACAGAUGUACCUUGAUUUAGUUUUUUUUAAGUGUGUUGUUGGGAAGUUAGGGCUAAAGAAAAUUUUGAUAAAACAGUUUUCCCAGUUUAGUUAUUUAGGGACUCUUAGUAGAGGGUAACGGCUGACAACUGCAUUCCCUCUCUUCUUCCACCAGCCUUAGGAAUCUGAUAAGUGUAGCUCCUCUGAAGAUGGAGAGAGCUCUUUCACCAUGGAGCUGAAGGAGUUCCUCAUCAUUUGUGAAGAUACACUAAGAGAGCUUGAGUAAAGAAUUUAACUUUACAUCUGCUUGAUAGAGCUGUUUUGAAGGGUAUUAGGUUCCUUAGAGUAAGUACAGUUAUACCUCUUGAUGCUUGAAGAGAGUUUUUGACAAGUACAUCUUUUUUUCUCUUACGCUGUGUCCCACAUCAAGGAUUGGAAUACCCUCCCAAGGUGAUUUUCUUUUUCUAAAUGGCUGUGUCAAGCACUGUAGUAGAUGAGAAGCCUCAAAAGAAGAAUUAAACUCUCUGGGUCUAGUUUGAAGUCUAGUGAAGGAACUUGAACAUUUUUCUGAAUUUGAUGAUAAUCUCCAGUGAUUCUCUUGCACAGAACUAUGCUUAUUUGAUUUAAAUUGUUUGUCCCUCUUAAACCAAAUGGCCCAUUUUUUACUUGGUUGCCAUGCAUUUAAAAAGUGGACCAUAGACGCACUUCCAAGGGAAUGGCUUUUCUUGAAAAUAAAAAAUUAUUCUCCAGAAACCAUAUUUUGAAACAAGAUUAGCAAAGCAAAUCAGAUUUUUGCUGUUUAAUUACUGUUAGGUGUCUAAACAUGUACUCUCUGGGACAAACCAUUUUUGUUAGCACCUUUUCAGUAUGAUUGACAGCCCAAAGCAGAUUCUUUACUGUUUGUUGGCAGUUGAAAUAAAGAAGCAUUAAUAGUGGAUUCAGUGACAGUGCAUAAAAUUUCAGGACAGAUUCCUAGGGGACAUACCUAGCAGGUAGGGUUUUAAAAUGGAUAUUUUCAUGACAACGACAGAAUCAUUGACUGAAACUUCACCGUGUAAGUUUGGAUCAAAUUUUGUUGGAUCAUUGGAUAACGGAGUCCUUGUAUUACAAAUUACUGUAUAAUUUUUGUUAUAUUGUUACUACAAGUGUUACAACAUUUUCAUUGACUGAAAACUUCAGGGCUUCUUUUCUGUAUAUAAGAAAGAAUUUAAACCUGUACAUAUUUUUGUACCUUUCAGUUUGUUAUGUAAAUUUUGCACAGAAAAUUUUUGACAUAAAAAGUUUAUUUUCCUUCAGUUUAGUUCUGUGCAUGCACUAAUAAAACUGGUUGUUUAAUUUAAAAGGAAUAUGUAAGACUUUACCCAUGUCCUUUUCUUGGUUUUUAUUUUAGAUGUAGAAUUUUUUUUUUUUUGGGUAAAUUCAUUUUUCAGGGAUUGAACACUAUUGUUAGCAAGUGCCUAAAAGAUGUGAAACAGUUUACAUAUGUCAACUGUAACAGUAGGUCCCAAAUGGGCCCAUUCCCCCAAAAGUUUUAUUUUAAAGAAAGCCAUACAUAGAUGCUUCAAGCUAUCUUGCUAUGCACAUUAUACAUGUACUUUUUUUGUGCAGUUUGUCUACUUUCCUAGUGAAGUAUUUUUUGUAUAAAACCUGUUAUAAUUGUGUUUCUUAAAUUGAGCCUAAGAAUGGAGUUGAUUGGAAAUAUACAGUAUAUAUUAAUAACGUAUAUGGUGUUUAAAGAAUGAUAAGUAUUGUUAAUUUCUGUAAUGAAAAUUUUCUUCAAUUAAAUUUAUCUUAAGUUUGUGUUUACACAGUAAUUUUUUUUACUGUACUGAAGUCAAAUGGGAAUUUUAUUCUAAAGGGAAAUACUUCUAUUUCAAAAAAGUUUGUUUCCUUUUAUGCUAGGGAACUGUGUCAAAUAAAGUGUGGAUUUGCCCCCCCAAAAUCAUAGAUGGAACUUUGUUUGAGAACAAACACUUAACACCAUAAAGUUACUAUAGUUAUGCUGAUGAGGAAAAUCAUAGAGAGGCUUAUGCUCUUUAGUACCCUAACAGCAAUAGAAUUGAAAUGCUCUGCUGUUCUGGGUAGAUGUAUUAUAACUCAUUGCCUUCCAUGAAUAGAGAAGAGAGAGCAGCAACUAUCAUGCCAAUGUUUGCAGGAUUAUAAAAACACAUUUCAGAAUAGCCAUGCUGGUAAAAAUCUAAUGUUGUGAUGCAUACUUUUUGCCUUAAAGUUUUAAAAGCCAUUUUAAAAAGCUUCAUGCCCCAGAUACUCUAGUUAGCCCCUUUUCUGAUUUGUUAGGUUAUUCUGAAGAAGGCAAACUUCCUUGGAACCUCUCUCUUGUGGAGUGGAAAAUCCAAAAUCAAAACCCACCAUCCUUUCUUUUCUCCUAGCUGAAACUGAACUAAAGAUUGUUCUCUAAAAUAGGAAUAGCCACUAAUUUGAGGUUGUGACUACACUGGAAGGGUUUUAUUUUUGCAAUCCAACUUCUUGGUCAGGAAUUUGUUUCAUUUUUCCCUAGUUGUCCAUCUCCAAGGAAAUGGACCUAUUUGCAUUCGAUUGAAAAAAUAGUUUAACUUUCAAAGAGUUUACCUUUCAUCUUACUAAGCACUCAGUGUAUUGAAAUGUGAUAUAUAUAUAUGUGAUAUAUAU
rnacentral:lncRNA from 1 species